UUUUUUAUUAUUAUUAAUUAUGUUUUGUUAAUUGUUAAUAAUUUUUAAUAUUAACUAAGAUAUAGAUUUGAUCUCAUAUAUAUAUUAUUUUGACAUGAAAUCAUUAUCAAGUAAGAUGAAGUGUGUAGAAUUAAAAUCGAGUUUUUUAUGAAAUAGAUAGUUAAAUUGUAUUACAAAAUUGAAUAUGUAAGAUAAAAAUUUAUUCUUUUCUUCUAAAUACUAAAUUAUAAUAUAAAAAAAGUGUGUAGGUUACUAUUUAGACUUCAAAUAUCAUCAAUAAGAUUGAAUGGGUAUAAUAAAAUAAAAUGCAUAAGACUACUAUUUUACUAUUCAAAAUUAUAUAUCAAGAACAAUGUAUAGAUUAUUAUUUU
rnacentral:sRNA from 1 species